GUCCUGAGAAUACCAGCAUUUCCUCUUAGGGGAUCAUGACGCUGCAGUGACCAUGUGACCCUGGCUGUGCUCAUCAACCUGGACUGGUCAUUGACUGUGAUGCUGGUCUCCAUGCCUCCAAAGAUUGGGCGAGAUAGAAUUCCAUGGAAUUUCAUUGCCAAACCAGUGUAGUGCGAAUUUUGACAUUUGUACCAGCUAAUGUAGCUGUGAAGAAGCACACCAAUACCACUUCUAAGCACAGCAUAGACCAAGAACUGGGUUUCAUAUGGAUGAAUUUAUUCUUCCUUUGAGGCAAGACAAGAAGGAAAGAAAGUAUUGGGACUACUGCUGUCCUCCCAUCCUCAAGGGCCAGUGGGAACUCUAAUAUUGAUUGGGUGAGAUACAAUUCCAUGAAAUUUUACCACUGAACCAGUGAAGGGCUAAUUUUGUCAUUUGUACCAGUUAACUAAUUUGGGAGGAAACAGAACAACACACUCCUGAGAAUUCCGUGGACUUUAACCAGUGACGCGCUAAUUUUGUCAUUUGUACCAGCUAACUCAUCUGGGAGGCAGCAAAACAGUAUUCUCCUGAGGUUAAUGUGGACGAAGAAAUAGAUUUCAUGUAAAAGAGUUUAUUCCUUCUACUUGAGGUGUGACAUGAAGGAAAGUAAUGGAAAUAAUUCUGCCUUCCCAUUCUCAAGGGCCAGGGGGAAUUCUAAUAUUGAACAGAAGUGAUUUGGGAAUUGCAUGGAAUUCUCACUGCCAUCCCAAAGAAAUGCUGAUCUUGUCACUCUUACCUGUUCCGUUGCCUGGGGCAGAACAAAAAGAUGCACUUCAAAGAUCGGCAUGAACCAAGAACUGGGUUUCAUAUGAAAUAUUUUACUCUGUCCUCUUGAGAUGUGACAUGAAGAAAAGUAUUGAGAAUAUUUCUAUCACCUCAUCUUCAAGAAUCAGUAGGAAUUCUCCCAUGGUUCCCUGUGAUACUAGAGUUGCAUGGAUUUUUAAUCUUUACACCAAUGAAGAUCAGAGGCAAACAGUGCCCUUUAUUUAGAAAUUUGCAUUUGUCACUGAUAACUGUAAUAAUUGAUUUUGUUGAAAAGUCUGGGAAAUGAAGAUCUGAUAUGUCACUUUUACCAGCUUCCUCAACUGAGAAAGAAUACAAUGAAACAUGCUGAGAAUUUUUGUGCUUUCUCAGUCUUGCUAAUGAUCUUUCUGUGGGCAUGAAGCAUGGAGAGUGCCAGAGAGGCUGAUCCUCAACAGUGACAGCGGAAAGUUGGGUGCGACCAAGAGACUGGAAGUGAUGUUGGUGGAAGACAACACUUUGCCGCUUGGAAUUCUCACCUCCACACCAAAGAAGGACUGUUUUUGUCAUUUGCACCAGCUUCUUUCUCCAGGAAAGAUCAAAACGAUGCACUCCAAGGGCAUGCCAUGUACCCCUCAGGACCUGAAGCAAGAGAAUGAAUUAAAGAAAACUCCAGAGAAUGAGCUGACAGCGUACUCCCUGGUCAGUGGCUCUCCAUGCCUACCUGUGGUUUCUUGGACACCCUUGCAGAAGAUGACUUCCUGGGAACUCUUCUGAGAGUGAAUGUUACCAGCAAAUUCCCAAAACAACACCCCUUAGACAAAAGCCUCCUCACCUAUGCAUUGCCUAGGCCACCCACUAAAGGUGAUGGCCACAAAGAGGUGGAUUUGUUGAGUUGGUGCCAUUCCUUCUACUGCCAGCUUCACCAAAACAAUGAUACAGUCUUCCUUAUGCAUGGGGACUCUUCUCUUUCCUGUGUUGCAGUGGAUACCUCCUGCAGAUAAGAAAUGCUUAACUGAGAAAUGCUCAUGUUGGGAUAUCAUCGAUGAGACUUUAAUUGGGGCAUGGUGACUGUUUCCCUUGCUGCCACUUGACUCAAUCCCAGGAGCCUCAGUAGAGGAUAAAAUAUUACACAAGAUGCUCAAAAUGGUGGAAUUGCUCAGUGCUCCCAUAAAUAUACAUUUAUAAUUUUCAUUUGCCACAUGGUAAACUGAAAAAUACAGAAUAUAUUAAAAAGAAACUCUGCAUGACUUUUUUCAAAAAUUCAAAGCAUAUUUAAAUAAUAUAUAAAUUAAAUGCCCUCCUCUCUUCCAAUUCUGUCCCUAUAGUUUUCCUCUAUUAAGUGAACUACAUGCAUUCUUUUAGUGGAUAGAUGCACACAAAUACACAAGCCAUUUUGGGGAAGGAUCCAGCAGUGUGGCCAUAUUGUAACACAUUUUUCUGCAAAUUACCUCUUUCAUUUAACAGCCCUCAUUCAAUGGCCUUUUUCUUUUUCAGUAAUACAUACACAUCUGUGUCAUUUGUUGAAUGACGACAUGAAUGUUUUGUAGAUGAAAUAUAAUUAAAUGUUUUAAGCAUUUCUCACUCAUAGAUAUUUAUGUUAGCACCAAAUUUCUGUGCAAUGAACCUCCCUAUAUAUCAAUAAUUUUGCAUUUGUCUAUAAUAUCAUAAUAAAUUACUUAUCAGUUGAAUUACUGGGAUUAAGUAUGUGCACACUUCAUAUUUUGAAAAUUAUUGCAAGAUUGCCUUCAAAAAUGUGGUUAACAACUUUAUCCUCCAAUGGCAAUGAAUGAGAUUGCCAGCUUUCCUACAACCUCACAGACAAUGGAUUUUAUAAAUAUUUAAAAUUUUUGCCAAUGUGAUCACCCAAACUAUUGUCUUAAAUUGUAUUUUUUUUGUUUUUGAGUUUGGUCAUUUUUUCAUGUUUGUUAGCCAUCUGUAUUUUUUAAUUUCCUCUUUAUGUCCAAUUUUGUGGGUGGGAGGAGGAUUUAGUCUCUUCCUGAUUGCGAAGAGCUCAUUUACUAUUUCGGGAAAUAAGAUUUGGAUUGUCAACCAUUACAGCUAUUUUUUACACACUUUUUAACUUUGUUUUUGUUAUAAGAAUGUGUAUGAUUGUUAUAUGUCCAAGUAUAACCAUGUUCGCUUUUAUGGCUUCUGAGUUUCAUGUCAUUUUUGGAAAGAUAUAUAUACUGAGUCCAUAAAACCCUUCACCUAUGUUAAAUUCUAAUUAUUUUGUGUUUUUUUAAUUCAAAUUCUUAAAUCAUGAGAAAUUUUUUUGUUUUGAAAUCUUAAAGUUGCCAAGUUACUUGCCAUUACUUGCGAUUAUUUGCCAAUAAUUGCCCAUUUAUCUGUACUGCCAUCUUGCGCAUACGCUGUACUCUCAUCUGUGACUGGCUCCAUUUUUGUUCUGUGGAUUUGUGUGUCUCUUCUUCUGCCUCCUGUCUCAUGUGUCUUCUCGUUGGAAGAAAUUACAGUUUAGACUGCAAUUUCAUCAACUUUAAUAAAUCAAUUGAGGGGAGAAUGGUUUUUAAAAAUAUUAAGUAAGUCUUCGUAUCCAAGGACAAGGUAUGUCUUUUCAUAUUCAAUAAUUUUAAUUACUGUUAAUAUUUUCACUUUGGUGAUGGGAGUUUUUCUUUUAAUUUGCUUUCUUGUUCAUUUUUUGUAUCUGAAGUUUUUGUUUUGUUUUGUUUUGUUUUGGGGGUAAGUGGUCACCUUACUGUUUCUUGUUGCUUUUCAGAUUUUUUCAAAGUAUAGACUAAAUCCUUUGCAAAUAUUUAAAGUUUUUUAUUUCCCCCCUUCAUAUUGAUCCUGAUUUUAGUUACGUUGACAAAGUCCACAGACUGUUACUAUCAGCAGAACACUUGAACAGUUAUGGAAAUACUACCCACCCUUGAUUUAAUCAGGGUUUAAUGGUAUGCUGCUUUGGUUUGACUGGCACAUUGUUGCUGGUCAUUUUCUCCCAAAGACCACCAGAAAGAGCUAUGAUCAAGCAAAGCUGAGUUUGUUAAACUUACCUGCAGCAAGGGAAAACACCACCUUGAUAGGGUUUAAUAAUGUUUCAAAAUCAAGAAAUGAGGCUUUGGGGUCUGGGCAGGGAACUAAUUAGAAAUGGGCAAAAUUUGUCAUGCAAUACUUUAAGAUUGGUGGGAAAGUGAGAUGAGGUUCUUAAUGUGAGGGUUGAUGGUCAAAUCAUUUUCUAGGUGAGCUGUUUGCCUGUAGAAAGCUGUUAUCAAUGAUAGAAGAACUAUUUGCCUAGAUAAGCAAACUGAAUUUAUUUAUUGGUUCACAGUUUUAUCUUGCUGGGCAGGACUCUGCUGGGGGUGGUAUCAGGUCAUAUUCCCAAUAGGUAAGUUAUUUUGAUGUGGGUGGUCUUAAUCAUCAAUGUGUAAAAUGCUGAUUUUUAAGUGCGAAAUACUUUGUCUACUAUGUUAGGAAAGUCUCCCACCUUUUAUAUUUUGUAAGGAAUUUUAAUCAAAACCAGGUGGUAGAUAUAAUCAAAUUUUUUUUGCAGAAUCUGUUUUACUGUUCUUUUUAAAGACUUUUAUCACUGUGAAUGAAUUUACUGUUAUUGCAGCUUCCUUUUAUUCCUUGAAUGAACAGACCCUACUGGUUUUUAAAAUGUUUUAUUCUUUUAAUUUACUACUUAAUCGUAGGUAUUUUAAUUUGAUUUGGAAUUUUUACAAGUAUACGACUAAGUGAAAUUGAUCUGUGAUUUUUCUUUUUUGUGCUAUUUUUGUCAUGUUUUGGUAUCAGAUAUUCUGGUUGUGUUAAUCAUUUUGAGGAUUUUCUUAUACUGUGUUCUAGAGUGGGUAAAAAAGCUCUCAUCUCACUAUCAGUGUUUAAGUGAACAUAUCAAUGAAAUCAUCUGGACUCUCCUUUGGUUUUGGUGGUUUGGAGUUAGAAGAGAGGCUAUCUAGAAGUUUUUUUUUUUCUUUUCCUUUUUUUUGUAUGGUUAUUGCUUAUUCUUUGUUUUGUGUCUUAAAUAUAACCUGUGUUAUCUUAGCAAAUCACAUUUCAUACAGAUUUUCAAACACAUUAGCAUUAACUUAUACAGUGUUCUUUCAUCAUUCUAUUAAAUUUCUCUUGUUUCAAUUAUGUAUUCAUUUUCAUUCCAGUUGUAGUUAUUUCUGCCAUGCCUUUGUUAAUGAAUAAGUUUAACUAGUGGAUGUUUAGCAUCACUAGCUUUCCCCUUCCCUCCCCUCAAUCAGGUCUUUGGUAUAAUUUAUCAGGUAUUUUUUAAGGUUCUAAUUUACUAAUAUAUAUUGGUUCUGUAUUCUUUUAUUUCUUUUCCUAAUAAAUUCUUAAACAUGUGUAA